rnacentral:tRNA from 1 species
GGGCCCGUAGCUCAAUGGCAGAGCAGGCGGCUCAUAACCGCUAGGUUUCAGGUUCGAGUCCUGGCGGGCCCA